rnacentral:rRNA from 1 species
GAUGAACGCUAGCUACAGGCUUAACACAUGCAAGUCGAGGGGCAGCAUUGGAGUAGCAAUACUUCAGAUGGCGACCGGCGCACGGGUGAGUAACACGUAUCCAACCUGCCGCUUACUCGGGGAUAGCCUUUCGAAAGAAAGAUUAAUACCCGAUGGUAUAAAGAGUUCGCAUGUUCUCUUUAUUAAAGAAUUUCGGUAAGCGAUGGGGAUGCGUUCCAUUAGAUUGUUGGCGGGGUAACGGCCCACCAAGUCUACGAUGGAUAGGGGUUCUGAGAGGAAGGUCCCCCACAUUGGAACUGAGACACGGUCCAAACUCCUACGGGAGGCAGCAGUGAGGAAUAUUGGUCAAUGGACGAGAGUCUGAACCAGCCAAGUAGCGUGAAGGAUGACUGCCCUAUGGGUUGUAAACUUCUUUUAAUAAGGGAAUAAAGUGAGGGACGUGUCCCUUUUUGUAUGUACCUUAUGAAUAAGGAUCGGCUAACUCCGUGC